rnacentral:rRNA from 1 species
GACGAACGCUGGCGGCGUGCCUAAUACAUGCCAGUAGAACGCUGAAGCGAGGAGCUUACUCUUCUUGGAUGAGUUGCGAACGGGUGAGUAACGCGUAGGUAACCUGCCUUGUAGCGGGGGAUAACUAUUGGAAACGAUAGCUAAUACCGCAUAACAAUGGAUGACACAUGUCAUUUAUUUGAAAGGGGCAAUUGCUCCACUACAAGAUGGACCUGCGUUGUAUUAGCUAGUAGGUGAGGUAAUGGCUCACCUAGGCGACGAUACAUAGCCGACCUGAGAGGGUGAUCGGCCACACUGGGACUGAGACACGGCCCAGACUCCUACGGGAGGCAGCAGUAGGGAAUCUUCGGCAAUGGGGGCAACCCUGACCGAGCAACGCCGCGUGAGUGAAGAAGGUUUUCGGAUCGUAAAGCUCUGUUGUAAGUCAAGAACGGGUGUGAGAGUGGAAAGUUCACACUGUGACGGUAGCUUACCAGAAAGGGACGGCUAACUACGUG